ACAGUUUUAUUUGUCUACUAUAAUUACUUUGAUAAUAAUAAGAACGUACGGGAUACAAAAUGACUUUAAAAUAUAUUAUUUUGUUAUUUUUAAUUUACUUUUUUCCAAUGGCCUUAGCAGACGAUUUGACUGGAAAGGAAAUACUGGCAACGCAACGAUUUUUCAAUUACAUUACAGAUCAAGUAAAUGCUACGUCCUUUACCAUUGAUCAGUUAAAACAAUUUAUACCACAGCAUUGGUGGGAUAUCUUAGAUGAAUAUAUGAUCCCCAAAAACCCUUCUAAAGGAAAAAAAGUUGGUAUAGCCACAGUACAUGGUCUGAUGAAAAAAUUGAAAAGUGCAGGAGUUGAUUUUAUGCCAGAAAUUAUUCGCCGUUCAUCAACACACGCAGAAAGUAGUCAGAAUCAGAAUAAGUCCAAGGAAAAAAAAAAGUAAACGAGAAAGCCUUCCAUACAAAACAUUUUUAAAUGUUAAAUGUAUACUCCAAAUAUUCAGAAAAUAUAUUUAAAAUAUUCAAACAAAAUGUAAUAAUAUGAGAUUGUAAUUAAAUAAAUAAAACUAACAGUCAUAGGAUAA